AUCCCCCAGACUCAUCACCCUUCAGAUUGACAGGGUCUGGGUGGCUAAGAAAAAGGAGGAAAAGGAAAACUGAAGUGGAAGUCCAGUCUCUAAUGACAUACAAGUUCAUUUCAAACCAAC
rnacentral:snoRNA from 1 species